rnacentral:misc_RNA from 1 species
UUUCCGUAGGUGAACCUGCGGAAGGAUCACUAUUGUAUAACCUAAGGGCCAGAUCUCUCUCUCACCCCACAGUGCGUGCACCCCCGAGUGCCUUCACACACAUCCUUCUCACCCCUAUGUUCAACACCACAUGGAUCCCCCUUUUUCAUGUUCGGAUCUGUUCGUACUUUUACACACAAACUUUGCAUGCAAUGGAGAGUGUAUUUUUUGUUUUUGCGGUCACCCAAGCAAUACAACUUUCAACAACUGAUCUUUUGGCUCUCCCAUCGAUUAAGAACC